AUUGAACGCUGGCGGCAUGCUUUACACAUGCAAGUCGAACGGUAACAGGUUAAGCUGACGAGUGGCGAACGGGUGAGUAAUGCAUCGGAACGUGCCCGGUCGUGGGGGAUAACGCAGCGAAAGCUGCGCUAAUACCGCAGACGAUCUGAGGAUGAAAGCGGGGGACCGUAAGGCCUCGCGCGAUCGGAGCGGCCGAUGUCGGAUUAGGUAGUUGGUGGGGUAAAGGCUAACCAAGCCAACGAUCUGUAGCUGGUCUGAGAGGACGACCAGCCACACUGGGACUGAGACACGGCCCAGACUGCUACGGGAGGCAGCAGUGGGGAAUUUUGGAAAAUGGGCGAAAGCCCGAUCCAGCAAUGCCGCGUGCAGGAAGAAGGCCUUCGUGUUGUAAACUGCUUUUGUACGGAGAGAAAAGGUCUCCUCUAAUAAAGGGGGCUCAUGACGGUACCGUAAGAAUAAGCACCGGCUAACUACGUGCCAGCAGCCGCCGUAA
rnacentral:rRNA from 1 species